AUUGAACGCUGGCGGCAUGCUUUACACAUGCAAGUCGAACGGCAGCGCGGGCUUCGGCCUGGCGGCGAGUGGCGAACGGGUGAGUAAUGCAUCGGAACGUGCCCAGUAGUGGGGGAUAGCCCGGCGAAAGCCGGAUUAAUACCGCAUACGACCUGAGGGUGAAAGCGGGGGACCGAAAGGCCUCGCGCUUUUGGAGCGGCCGAUGUCGGAUUAGCCAGUUGGUGGGGGAAAGGCUUACCAAGGCGACGAUCCGUAGCUGGUCUGAGAGGACGACCAGCCACACUGGGACUGGGACACGGCCCAGACUCCUACGGGAGGGAGCAGUGGGGGAUUUUGGACAAGGGGGGCAACCCUGAUCCAGCCAUGCCGCGUGCGGGAAGAAGGCCUUCGGGUUGUAAACCGCUUUUGUUCGGGAAGAAAUCCUCUGGGCUAAUACCCCGGGGGGAUGACGGUACCGGAAGAAUAAGCACCGGCUAACUACGUG
rnacentral:rRNA from 1 species